GGGGGUGUAGCUCAGACGGUAGAGCGCUCGCUUAGCAUGCGAGAGGUACUGAAUCGAUACCCAGCACCUCCA
rnacentral:tRNA from 1 species